UCACUAGCAAGGUUAAGGUAUAGAGUACCGAAUCCGUAGAGAAAUCGAGUCUGAAUAGGGCGACAAGUUAGUGGAGGUAGACGCGAAACCAGGUGAUCUACCCAUGAGCAGGUUGAAGUUGUAGUAACAUACAAUGGAGGACCGCACCAAUAUACGUUGAAAAGUGUUUGGAUGACUUGUGGGUAGGGGUGAAAGGCCAAUCAAACCUGGAAAUAGCUCGUACUCCCCGAAAUGUUUUUAGGAACAGCGUCGGGAAUUGUAUGAUGGAGGUAGAGCUACCGAUAGGACUAGGGGGAGUCACAUCCUACCAAAUCCUGACGAACUCCGAAUGCCAUCAUAUAGAACCGGCAGUGAGGGCUUGGGUGCUAAGGUCCAAGUCCGAGAGGGAAAGAACCCAGACCUACCGCUAAGGUCCCAAAAUCCGCGCUAAGUUGAACAAAGGCGGUCCAGUUGCAGAGACAGCCAGGAGGUUAGCUUGGAAGCAGC
rnacentral:rRNA from 1 species